rnacentral:lncRNA from 1 species
ACCAACAUCACCAAUCCCAAAUUUAAUUUAUCCUCUGGAACAAAAUUAGAAUGCAUCGUAAAGCAUUCUCAUGUUAAUUCUUUUUUUGCUUUCAAAAUAUUGAUCUCUAAGUCGAGAAUUGUUGGGAUCAAGAUUAACAGAUUCUUCAUGACAAGGUAAUCCCGUGAUUAGACAAAAUUCUUGCAAGCCAAAACGAGCAAAAUGAUCGUCCAACCUCACCCACACCUCAUUCCUUUUACCACAGUCAACAAACCUCAUUAUAAAUUCAUGUAUUAGUUUACUGCUGAAUUGUUGCUCUUCAUCUGCAUACAUAAAUCCAUAAAGAAAUCCAUGAAAACUGCUAUCGCUAGAGAGUAAAAGUGAUUGCUCAUCUGCUUGAAGCAAUUCUAUACAAUCUUUUACAUAUUGGUAAUUGGUGUGUUGAGUUAUAGCACCAGAAAAUCAUUGGUUUGGUGACAGUAUAUAAUCUAGAGACAUCUGCGCAAAUAAUAGAAGAUAUAUAUGAAAAAUGUCAUAACUUAUACCAACAUAUCUUCGUGAUUUCAUAUAAGUAUAUAUCAUAUAUAUCAUGUAAGCUGAAAAAAAAUUACUGUCAAUGCAUAUCAAUCAUCAGAUUUAAUAUAUAUUUUCUAAUUUUGAGAUUUUGUCUCCAAUUUAUAUAAAAAAAAAAGUAUAAUUUAACUUUAAAAAAAGAAGCAAAAAAAAGGGUAAGUUCCGGGUGCGGAGUCCUGUGCGGGAAUUCCAUGUGGAGUCCCCACAUGAAAUCGGUUAUGUGAUUGCUUUGAUUCGGAAACUUCUGCCUUUGGAUGUAAAAGAUGGUGAAAAAGAUGCUUUUGAAUUGGACAAAGGACCAGAAACUAAAGAAUCAGAAGAACAUGCUGUAAAUUUAUCUAAAAAUGAAGCGGAAGUUGAAGCUAUUGACACUGCUCAUAACAUUGGCGAACUGGAUAAUAAAGCAGCUGUAGAUGAAGAAUUGCAAUGUCAUCAUGAUAAGCAUCAAGGUGGAAUGGUGGGAGAAGAAACUUGGGAAGAGUGUGGGUGCAUUUUAUGGAUCUAGCGGCAAGCGAGCAUCAUGCUGAAUUCAUGGUAUUGUUAUCUUUUCUUUAGGUUAAUAUGAUUUACUUAUAAUUUCUCAACAAUUUUAACUAAACUUCCAAAAAAUGGUUCUCAAUCCAUAUAUUCAAGAGGUUUUUUCUUACAAAAUUUGGAUUAAAGAGAUAAUAUUCUUGUUUAGAUUUUUUGAAGAGGAAAACUUAAUUGAUUUACCAAAAUCACCCAAUUCCACCAACCUCAUACACCUUCAAUAGUAUAUGCUAAAAAAUGCAUAACCAGACAGGCAUCUGCCUAAGAAUAGAUUCAGGGGUAGAUUUAAAAAUGUUAUAUCAUUUAUGCAAAGGUCUUUUGCCUUUGAAACAUAUUGAUAGAGACAUUUACAUUUCUAUCAUGUUCAAAAUCUUAUUCCUG